rnacentral:lncRNA from 1 species
AUGAAAAUUCUUCAGGAUUUGGUUCCUGGAUGUAAUAAGGUAGUAUUUCCUACAGAAUGAAGUAUAGGGAAUUGAAGAUGAAUUUGGUAUCUUUGGUACUACUUCUGAUUACUAGACAACUCUAAAAACAUCUCAGUAAAUUAUCUAGGGCUCUGUAUUCUGAGUUUAAUUUUGUUUCACUUAGUAUGUUUCCUUACAUAUCCUGGUGUACUUUUUUUUCUGAGAAGGUUAUUGGGAAAGCACUUGUUGUUGAU